UACGUAGGGCGCAAGCGUUGUCCGGAAUUAUUGGGCGUAAAGAGCUCGUAGGCGGUCUGUCGCGUCUGCUGUGAAAACCCGAGGCUCAACCUCGGGCCUGCAGUGGGUACGGGCAGACUAGAGUGCGGUAGGGGAGACUGGAAUUCCUGGUGUAGCGGUGGAAUGCGCAGAUAUCAGGAGGAACACCGAUGGCGAAGGCAGGUCUCUGGGCCGCAACUGACGCUGAGGAGCGAAAGCAUGGGGAG
rnacentral:rRNA from 1 species